rnacentral:rRNA from 1 species
UACGGGGGGAGCAAGCGUUGUUCGGAUUUACUGGGCGUAAAGGGCGCGUAGGCGGUCAGCACAAGUCAGUUGUGAAAUCUCCGGGCUUAACUCGGAACGGUCAGGUGAUACUGAUCUGCUAGAGUGCGGAAGGGGCAAUCGGAAUUCUUGGUGUAGCGGUGAAAUGCGUAGAGAUGCGGAGGAACACCGAUGGCGAAGGCAGCCCCCUGGGCCAACACUGACGCUCAGGCACGAAAGCGUGGGGAGCAAACAGG